rnacentral:rRNA from 1 species
CCAUGCAGUCGACGAUGAACCACCUUCGGGUGGGGAUUAGUGGCGAACGGGUGAGUAACACGUGGGCAAUCUGCCCUGCACUCUGGGACAAGCCCUGGAAACGGGGUCUAAUACCGGAUACUGAACCACUUGGGCAUCCUGGUGGUUCGAAAGCUCCGGCGGUGCAGGAUGAGCCCGCGGCCUAUCAGCUUGUUGGUGAGGUAACGGCUCACCAAGGCGACGACGGGUAGCCGGCCUGAGAGGGCGACCGGCCACACUGGGACUGAGACACGGCCCAGACUCCUACGGGAGGCAGCAGUGGGGAAUAUUGCACAAUGGGCGAAAGCCUGAUGCAGCGACGCCGCGUGAGGGAUGACGGCCUUCGGGUUGUAAACCUCUUUCAGCAGGGAAGAAGCGAGAGUGACGGUACCUGCAGAAGAAGCGCCGGCUAACUACGUGCCAGCAGCCGCGGUAAUACGUAGGGCGCGAGCGUUGUCCGGAAUUAUUGGGCGUAAAGAGCUCGUAGGCGGCUUGUCGCGUCGGUUGUGAAAGCCCGGGGCUUAACCCCGGGUCUGCAGUCGAUACGGGCAGGCUAGAGUUCGGUAGGGGAGAUCGGAAUUCCUGGUGUAGCGGUGAAAUGCGCAGAUAUCAGGAGGAACACCGGUGGCGAAGGCGGAUCUCUGGGCCGAUACUGACGCUGAGGAGCGAAAGCGUGGGGAGCGAACAGGAUUAGAUACCCUGGUAGUCCACGCCGUAAACGGUGGGCACUAGGUGUGGGCGACAUUCCACGUCGUCCGUGCCGCAGCUAACGCAUUAAGUGCCCCGCCUGGGGAGUACGGCCGCAAGGCUAAAACUCAAAGGAAUUGACGG